GAUGAACGCUGGCGGCGUGCCUAACACAUGCAAGUCGAACGAACGGACGAUAAGCUUUCGUUUCUGCUGUUAGCGGCGGACGGGUGAGUAACGCGUGGAUCACCUACCUCUAUGACUGGGAUAACUACGGGAAACCGGAUCUAAUACCAGAUAAUAUUUCGAACCGGAGGGUUCAAAAGAGAUUGACGGUUUUGCGGUCACUUAUAGCCGGAUCCGCGCUGGAUUAGCUAGUUGGUAAGGUAACGCCCUACCAAGGCUACGAUGCGUAGCCGACCUGAGAGGGUGAUCGGCCACACUGGAACUGAGCCACGGUCCAGACUCCUACGGGAGGGAGCAGUGGGGAAUGUUCGGCAAUGGGCGAAAGCCUGACGGAGCCACGCCGCGUGUGUGAUGAAGGUCUUCGGGUCGUAAAGCCCUUUUAUUGGGAAAGAACAGCUGUGGAAGUAAAUGUAGCCAUUGUGACGGUACCUAAUCAGAAAGCACCGGCUAACUACGUG
rnacentral:rRNA from 1 species